CAGAAGCGAACCAUUUCAUCUCUUUCCACUCAAACCACUUCUCUCUUUCCACUUUCCUCAUCUCUGCAUAAGCGAAGUUAGAGUUUCAGGCUACACGUGAAGUUUGGGUUUCAGUUUGAUGGUUUCGAUCUGAAGCUGAUGAUUUGUUGAAGCCAAGGAUGGAACUAUAUCUGUUGCCACUGUAUUUUUUAGUUACCCAGAAGGUAAUGCUGCAUCGUUUUAGUUAGGUGUCGAAGUGAUUAAGACGUUAACGACUGAUUGUAGUGCUGGUGGUGAUGCCAUCUCCUAGACUGCCAGGCUGACUCCAUCGACCGACAGUAAUGUUGUAAUGACAUUUCUCCCCAAAGACUGCGGCUUUGAAUAUCUGGUGCAACAAUAUGUUUUUAAUACUAUGUUACAAGUGAAGCGAAGUGAAGAUGUUAGUCAUGUAUGGUUUGACCUUGAAGUCAUAUGGGGAUGUAUUUUCUUGUUGGACUAUUUUGAAUGAGACUUUUCUGUCCAGUUCUAUUAGCUGCUAUGCUGUAAUGCAAAUAAAAAUCCAUGAGCAUAUAAUAUAUUGGCAAUUUAAUAUCCUUUGCACCUAGGAAAUACCCCCAAGGUAUAUUUCUAUAUUAUCUCUAGUGGGAGUAGUAAAUUUCCUUGUAUUUAUGAUGAUGUAUUUAAAUUCUCUCUUGUUUCUAUUUGCUUCAAACAACUAUACAAGACAAGGACCAUGAAUUCGUAACAAAAGCAGUUGAAGAAGCAUACAAAGGAGUGGAUAAUGAAGAUGGAGGCCCUUUCGGUGCAGUCGUUGUUCGCAAUAAUAAAGUAGUUUUGAGAUGCCACAACAUGGUUUUGAAGCAUACUGAUCCUAAUGCCCAUGUUGAGGUGACGGCAAUAAGAGAGGCGGAAGAAGGCCAGCUUGAUUAUAUUGGCAGAAUAGUUGAGUUCUUUGGGACCAUUAAGAAAAAGCCAUACAUCACUGUGAAGUGGUUCUUCAGAGCUGCAGACACGGCAAUUCUGUUAGGAAUACUCACAUCUCUUUUGAUUGAGUUAUGUAAAUUUUGUGUGUUUUCAGGUAAUUAAAGAGCAUUCUGGUAAAAUUGAACCGAAACGUGAACGUGUAUUUUCUUCGGACUCUAAAGAUGCCAAUCCACUGAAUUUUAUUGUUCAAAAAGUGACAGUUGCUCAAGCGUCCACAAAUGUCCCUGAAUGUGAUUUCUUUUAUGAUGUCAUACUCAGAUGAGUUUUGCACAUUCGAAAACUUGCGCAUAGAAAAUGGACAGGAUGCCGCUGCUUCAUCAUCAUCUAUGAUUUCUGGUGAAGGUAGCUCAGAAGUGGUCAAGGAAGCUGCUUCAUCAUCAUCCAAGACGCGUUCCUUAGCGUGUGGUUCUGAGGUUAUGACGCUUCUUGAUAUGUAUGCCGGCUGUGGGGGGAUGUCCACUGGCCAAUGCAUGGGCGCAGCUGCAUCAUAUGUGAGCCUGGUUACGAUAUGGGCAGUAAAGAUGCCUGUGAGAGUCUUCAGUUCAAUCACCCUGAAACACAGGUGAGAAACAUGAAAGCUGAGGACUUCUUGCAAUUGUUGAAAGAAUGGUACCGGCUUUGUGGAGAAUACCUUUUGUUGGGAACUGAUUUUCCCAAACCUGGAGUACCAAUUGAGCACGAACAGAAUGAAGAAACUGAAGAAGAGGCGCAAAUGCGUCCUCCAGAAGACAAUGGUGAAUAUGAAGUUCAGAAGGUCAUAGGCAUUCAUUAUGGAAUAUGGAGCUAAUCCUGACACGGAUGAAGGGCCUGCUUCCUUACACUAUAAGGCGAAGUGGAAGGGGUGGGGUUCUGAUUGGGAUUCAUGGGAGCCUGUAUCUAACCUUAAGAAUUUCAAGGGUUGCAUUAAGGAUUUUGUUGCCAAAGGUUACAAAUCCCACAUACUUCCGCUACCUGUUUGAUGAAGGAUCUGUGGGAUGGAUGGAAUGUGAUGAUGGUUUGAUAAUAAUGCUUCGUUCUUGGAAGAAAUGUCUCGUGCAAGAGCAAUGGGCAUUGAAAUUAAUGCAUAGGUGCUGCGGCAUUGGAUUCCAUCGGCUUCACCAAUUCUGCUUCAAAUGUGAAGGAAAAUACUGAUUAUGUGAGUCAUGUAUCUGUUGGUUUAUUCUUAUCUCAUAUACCCUAGGAAUAAAACUUAGGAAUUGUGCAAUAGAAUAAAACUUAGGGAUUGUAUUUCAAGUUCCGAACCAAUUCAAAUGUAGAAAGAACAGAAGUUAUUGUUAAUAAAGGAAGUUAUUGUUGAA